CCUAAACUUAGCUCAUGAAAGCGGUAUUAAGGUUGUUGCACUAACUUGUGAUGGCCCAUCUUCUAACAUCACAAUGUUAAAAGAAUUAGGGUGUGACAUUAUGCACAACCAAAAAAAAACGUGGUUUGAAUAUCUUAAUAGUAGAAUUCAUGUAUUUCUGGAUCCGUGCCAUAUGGUAAAACUAAUCCGCAACACGUUUGGUGAACUUAAUUUUUUUACAUAUGAAACUAAGCAAAUUAAAUUUGAUUUUAUACAAUAUUUAAUUGAUUUACAAGAAAAUGAAGCUUUACAUUUAGGCACAAAAUUAACGAAAUCGCAUAUAUAUUUUUUUAAACAAAAAAUGAAAGUACGACUAGCUACCCAACUAUUUAGUAAUUCGGUUGCAGAUGCUCUGCAUUUUUGUGAAAAUAUUUUAAAAAUAGAAAAGUUUUCAGAUAGUUCUUCUACUGCUAACUUCAUUAAAAUAAUAAAUGACGUCUUCGACGUGUUAAAUAGUCAUUCAAUGCGGCCUCCUGGCUGGAAAAAGGCGAUAUGUGCACAGAAUAUCGAAAGAGUAACUAAUUUAUUUAGCGAGGCUGAACAUUAUAUAAGAAAUUUAAAACUAGCUUCUGGGCAAUAUGUUAUAACAUCACGUAGAAAAACUGGAUUUAUAGGUCUUUUGGUAGACAUGAACAGUGCCCUAAAUUUAUUUAAAUUUUUAGUUACAAAAGAGGAGAUAUUAAAAUAUUUGCCAUUGUAUAAAAUAUCCCAAGAUCACCUGGAAAUGUUUUUUUCUGCCAUUAGGUCCAAAGGUGGCUAUAACAAUAACCCAAAUGCGGUACAAUUUAAGGCGGCUUAUAAAAAAAUAUUGAUCAGAGCCGAAAUCCGAGAUAAUGGCGUAGGUAAUUGUAUACCUCUUGAACAAAUUAAUAUAUUAAAUUGUUCUAGUAAAAUAUCUCCAACAAAAAUAUAAAUAAUUUGACUGCUAGGAGUAGCUUUGUCGAAAUUCCCGAAGAUGACAGCACUCUCUAUGAUAAUUACUUAAAUUAUUUAAAUAACACUACAAGCGAGUAUGCGGAGCACGUUAUUGUAUAUAUAGCUGGUUUUAUUACUAGAGUCUUAUGCCGAGAACUGCAGUGUUACGAGUGUUUGUCACUCAUCCGGGGCUGUGAGAAUGAUUUUUCGAAUAGUUUGAUAAAAGUAAAAUCAAGGGGUGGAUUGACAUAUCCCUCACGUUGUGUAUUAAAAAUUGUAAGAGACACAGAAAAAAUUAUUAAGCCACAAUUAAAGGCUGGAGCUAAGGUUGAAAAUUACUAUACAUAUAUUUUUAAAUUUUUAAUAGAUCAUUUUGAAUAUGCGAAUGUUUUAGUAUCUAGUGAUUUAGAGCACGAUUGUACACACAAACUGCUUUUAAUUAAAGCAAUAAUAAAUAAAUAUAUUGAUAUAAGAUUUAAAUAUUUCGGGAAGAAAAGUACAGAAAGAGUGUCAUGUAGAAAUUACUUGACAAAGAUGAUUUUGUUUAAAAAUGAAUAAUUAUAAAUAAACGUUUAUUUUGUCUUAUCUACGUGUAUAUUACUUGACACAAACCCAAUCCAAUCAUAAAGUUUAUCCAUGAAAUACAUUCCAAUAUAAAAUAAAAAUAUUUAACGAUCUACCUGUUUUAUUCUUAGAGCUGUUGUUUUUGUAUUUGAUCUGUGACUAUAUUCAAAAAUGAUAGUCAAUCUCCUAAGAAAAAAAUCUAAUAGUCACAGCGUUUAAGAUAUAAGGUACUUUUACUGCCCCAACUUCAAAACUUCCCAGUAUAAUAAAGAAAGUAUUAAAAAAGAAUAUAAUGAUAAUUUUUAAACUUGCCUGCACAUUCAUAUGUAAUCUUUUUUGGCUUAUUUAUCCCUCUUUAAUUCAUCGAUGUCGAUGCAAAGUUUUCGCUACUAGCAUAUCACUAUUGUAAGGGGCGGAGGCGGCGCCAUUUUGUUCAGGAAAUGUGCCGCAUGUCACGUGACCAUAUUACCCAUCCUCUAUACUUCUUUUAUCAUUGGGCUUGACAAAACAAACGUCAAAUCGUAUGACGUAUCACUGAGUGUUUAUGAAUAUAAUAUACUUUUGUUCCAAAUGCCUCAAUGCAGUGCGUUAAAUUGUAAAAACAGAGGAAUACAUUUAUUUCCAAAGGAAAGUAAACGUAGAAAGCAAUGGGAAUCUGCGUUACGUAUAAAAAACUUCGAAGCUAGUAGCACAGCACGAUUGUGUGUUGCGCAUUUUACAGAAAAAGAUUAUUACGGGAAAAUCAAUUAUACAGGUUAUGAGCUCCUUGCAAAAUUUCUUAAAAGACAGCUGUGCUAUCUGUGUUCUUCUUAACGAAGAUAAAACCAGAAAAUCCAGCUGCUGUGGCACAUCAACAACGUAUUGAACGAAGAAGUCAGUCGAGUAACAAAUGUAGAUAAUUCACAACCAUCAAGUAGCAAAAGUUAACCUAAUAAGUGACAGAGACAAUUUACUGGAAGUUGAUCAUGAAGAAGCAGUCAAAACAGAAGACAAAAAGUGCAGUAGGAUGUACAUAUAUUAUGCAUGAAUUUAUAUCUAAGGGCACUCAAGUUGAUCAAGAACACAAAUAUGGGUUUAUGAAUAGAUAUAAAGAUGAUAAUGCCACUAUUAAGUUUUACACAGGUUUUGAAUCAUAUAAAAAAUUUAAUUUAGUCACUCAGCUCUUAGUCCAGUGGUUCACAAAAUAAAAUAUUAUGGCAGCAAUGUGAUUAUUCUUAGCAGUGAUUCUAAUUCUAAUUUAUUAGUUGGUGCAAUACCUGGUAGCUUGCUGUUAUAUUGUUCCCAAGCAUUUGCAGGAUUGAUAAGUGAUCAGUAGGCAGUGGAACAAAGUGACCUUUUAGCAAAA